GCCUGGGUGGCUCAGUCGGUAGGGCGUCCGCCUUCGGCUCAGAUCGUGGUCUCGCGGUUCGUGGGUUCGAGCCCCGCUUCGGGCU
rnacentral:tRNA from 1 species